GCACUGCUGACGAGUCCCAAACAGAACGAUACAGCUUUCCAAUGC
rnacentral:hammerhead_ribozyme from 1 species